AGUGAACGCUGGCGGCAGGCCUAACACAUGCAAGUCGAGCGGCAGCACAGCAGUAGCAAUACUGUGGGUGGCGAGCGGCGGACGGGUGAGGAAUACAUCGGAAUCUACCUUCUUGUGGGGGAUAACGUAGGGAAACUUACGCGAAUACCGCAUAAGACCUGAGGGUGAAAGCGGGGGACCGCAAGGCCUCGCGCGAGAAGAUGAGCCGAUGUCGGAUUAGCUAGUUGGUGGGGUAAAGGCCCACCAAGGCGACGAUCCGUAGCUGGUCUGAGAGGAUGAUCAGCCACACUGGAACUGAGACACGGUCCAGACUCCUACGGGAGGCAGCAGUGGGGAAUAUUGGACAAUGGGCGCAAGCCUGAUCCAGCCAUGCCGCGUGUGUGAAGAAGGCCUUCGGGUUGUAAAGCACUUUUGUUGGGGAAGAAAAGAUCGCGGUUAAUAACCGUGGUUCAUGACGGUACCCAAAGAAUAAGCACCGGCUAACUUCGUGCCAGCCGCCGCGGUAACAC
rnacentral:rRNA from 1 species